rnacentral:lncRNA from 1 species
CAGAAGCAGUUGAAAGACCAGGAUGUGGGUCGUCUAGGGGUGAGGAGGCACUCUGAAUCAACUGUGUGUUGUACACCUGCGUUUUAACUGUGACCUGUCACAUGAGGACACGUGUGGAAUUUCCCACUUUUGUGCCAUAAAUAUCUCUCUGGGAACGGUGUGGAAGAUGGAUUGGAAUGGUGUAAAAUUGAAGAUGUGGACUCCGGUUGGGAGACUACACCCUAGAUAAGAUGAAGAGAACUUGAAGCAAGACAAUAGCAAUGGGAAUAUAAAGGAGAAGAGACAUUUGAGUGAAAUUAAGGAAGCACAAUCUGCAGACUGUUUUCUUUUUUUAAGAGUCAGGGUCUCCCUAUUUUGCCCAGGCUGGUCUCAAAGUCCUAGGCUCAAGCGACCCACCCACCUCAGCCUUCCAAAAUGCUAGAAUUACAGGGGUGAACUGCCUCACCAUGCCUCAGUCUGCAGAAUUUGAUGACUGAAUGUAUUUGGAGAGAGUCUGUGGCUUGGAUGACUGGGUGAGUGGAUUGUGAUGCCGUUCAUGGAAAUGAAGAAGGCAGAGGAAGGGAGAGCAAGAGGGUGGAAGUGGGGCAGUGGGGUGCUGGUGGGCCAUCCAAGGGACACCAGCUGUUGAAUAUGUUGCAUCUGUAAAGAUACAGAUUGAUCAUUCAGAAAUAAAGAGAAAAAAAGCAAAAGCAAAAAAAGUUUUAAAAUAAAAAAAUAUAGAUUGAGAGAGUCAUAGGCAUACAGAUGGUCCUUGAAAUGACAAGUAGAUGGAAAACAAUGAAACAAGAAAAGAAAGCCAAGAACAGAGAAAAAAAAAACAGAGAUGGAGAAGGAAUAGUUAGUGAGGUCGGUAGGAAAGUAGGAUUGAGUGGGAAGAGAGACUUUCCAUAAGAAAGGAGUCAUGUUAGGGUUUUCCAGAGAACCAGAACCAAUACUGUGUGUGUGUGUGCGUGUGUGUGUAUAUGUGUAUAUAUAUGGGUGUGCGUGUGUAUGUAUAUGUGUAUAUAUAUGGGUGUGCGUGUGUAUGUAUACGUGUAUAUAUAUGGGUGUGCGUACGUAUAUGUGUAUAUAUAUGGGUGUGCGUGUGUACGUAUAUGUAUAUAUAUAUGGGUGUGUGUGUGUAUGUAUAUGUGUAUAUAUAUGGGUGUGGUUCCCAGUCCAAGGUCAGAAGACCAAUGUACCAGCUCAAGCAGGCAAGCAGGAAACAAAAAAUGGAAGAAUUCCUCCUUCCUCCACUUCUUGUUCUGUUCAGGCUCCCAACAGAUUGGAUGAUGCCCACACACAUUGAGGAGGCCAACCUGCUUUACUGAAUUCACAAAUUCAAAUGCUAACCUCAUCUGGAAACACCCUCGCAGACACACUCAGACACAACGUUUAAUCUGGGUGCCCCUUGGCCAGUCAUGUUGACACAUAGAAUUAACCAUCACAGGAGUUACAUCUGGUGUGAAAACCAUAAAGAAAUCAGGAAGGAUGAAAACUGUGGUGGACAUUUUCUCUUUUGACCACACUACCUCUUUUUUUCCCCCUUCUUUUGGAGAGAGAAUUUCCACUUAAUAACUCUUCCCCCAAUGUGUGCACCUGUGCUAAGACUCUCAGGGCAUUCUGCACUGCUCACUCCAAGCCACCAGGUGGGUAUGUGGCCCGAGCUCAGCAGAUUGGACUGACUUA